rnacentral:rRNA from 1 species
GUGAACGCUGGCGGUCGGCCUAACACAUGCAAGUCGCACGGCAGCACAGUAAGAGCUUGCUCUUACGGGUGGCGAGUGGCGGACGGGUGAGGAAUACAUCGGAAUCUACUUUUUCGUGGGGGAUAACGUAGGGAAACUUACGCUAAUACCGCAUACGACCUACGGGUGAAAGCAGGGGAUCUUCGGACCUUGCGCGAUUGAAUGAGCCGAUGUCGGAUUAGCUAGUUGGCGGGGUAAAGGCCCACCAAGGCGACGAUCCGUAGCUGGUCUGAGAGGAUGAUCAGCCACACUGGAACUGAGACACGGUCCAGACUCCUACGGGAGGCAGCAGUGGGGAAUAUUGGACAAAGGGCGCAAGCCUGAUCCAGCCAUACCGCGUGGGUGAAGAAGGCCUUCGGGUUGUAAAGCCCUUUUGUUGGGAAAGAAAAGCAGCAGGUUAAUACCCCGCUGUUCUGACGGUACCCAAAGAAUAAGCACCGGCUAACUUCGUG